UCUGUCCCGCCGCGCGGAUUCCCGAGGACACGUCCAGCCGAUGAGUUAGGUCGCCCGUUUUGGAUUCUCUCCCUGGCCUGGACACCCACUCUGCAGUCUUCGUCUACGUCCACGGCAGCCACCUCCCCGCAUCACUUUGAGUGCUCGCGACCCGGACUGUCCAGUGAAGCAGCCUCUGUCCCCGGGGUCCCAGCCUCUGGCGCCCGAGCCGUGCGGCUCCCCCGAGGCCUCCGACUGUGUCGCCGCAGGCAUCGGGCCUCGAAGCCGGCGUGAUCGCCUUUGGCCGGGUCAAGUCCUCACCAGUGGCUAGCGCCGGGAGGGCAGAGGCCGUGUCCAGCGGGUUCGCUGGCCUGACGCCAGACUGGCCGGGCACACACGUAGGUCGGUUGUGCAAGCGGCGGGUACAGAAGCAGAAAGCUUAUUGUUAGAGCGUUAUGUUCCCAUGGGCGAUAGCCGAGCAGUAAUGUUCCAGCCAGCACAGGUAUAUGAAUGAAGGUUGUUCCGUUUUAAUAGUUACAUGUUUAUUUUGAAUAAAAUGGCAAGCGAUGCUGA